UCAAGCUAAGAAGAGCAUAAGGUGAAUGCCUUGGCACCGGAAGCCGAAGAAGGACGCGACAAGCUGCGAAAAGCCGUGGGGAACCGCAAAUAGGUAUUGAUCCACGGAUGUCCGAAUGGGGAAACCCCGCAUAAACAUAAUAUGCGAGCGUAUGCUGAAUAAAUAGGUAUACGCGGGGAACCUCCCGAACUGAAACAUCUCAGUAGGGAGAGGAAAAGAAAUCAAACGAGAUUCCGCGAGUAGUGGCGAGCGAAAGCGGAAGAGGCUAAACCGGAGGUAGCAAUACCACCGGGGUUUUGGACUGUAAUAUGUAGUUUCAGAGAUAGCGGAACGCGAUGGGAAGCGCGGUCAUAGAGGGUGAGAGCCCCGUACGCAAAAUUGAAGAGACGCUAACAGGAUCCGAAGUACGUGCGAGCACGAGGAAUUCGCACGGAAGAUGGGGGGCCCACCCUCCAAGCCUAAAUACUAACCGGUGACCGAUAGAGAAGCAGUACUGUGAAGGAAAGGUGAAAAGAACCCCGAGAGGGGAGUGAAAUAGGACCUGAAACCUUAUGUUUACAAGCACACAAAGAGGAUUAAGCCUCGAUGUGGUACCUUUUGUAGAAUGGUCCGGCGAGUUAUUGUACGCGGCAAGGUUAAGCGUUUAAGACGCGAAGCCGAAGGGAAACCGAGGGUUAAGAGCCCGAACAAGUCGCGUGUAAUAGACCCGAAACCGGGUGACCUAUCCAUGUCCAGGUUGAAGUGAGGGUAAAACCUCAUGGAGGACCGAACCGACCCCCGUUGAAAAGUUGGCGGAUGAGGUGUGGAUAGCGGAGAAAUUCCAAUCGAACCCGGAGAUAGCUGGUUCUCCCCGAAAUAGCUUUAGGGCUAGCCUUGGAUGAAUAUUAGCGGAGGUAAAGCACUGAAUAGGUAAGGGGGCGAAAGCCUACCGACCCUUAUCAAACUAAGAAUACCGCGUAAUAGUGUCCGGGAGUCAGACAGUGUGAGAUAAGUCUCAUUGUCAAAAGGGAAACAGCCCAGACCCACAGCUAAGGUCCCAAAUAUACGCUAAGUGGAGAAGGAUGUGGCAUUGCGAAAACAACCAGGAUGUUGGCUCAGAAGCAGCCACACAUUCAAAGAGUGCGUAAUAGCUCACUGGUCGAGUGAAGCUGCGCCGAAGAUUUAGCGGGGCUAAGCGUAUAACCGAAGCAUGGGCAAGUCGGGCAGUUAACAACUAACAGUUAACAACUAACAGUUAACGGUAUCGGAGACAAAAUCAUGAAUGGAAGCAUAUUGCGAGAUAAAAGCAAAGCAUUUGCGAUGAGGAUUGUAAAGUUGUAUCAGUAUUUAUGCGCUGAACACAAAGAAUAUGUGUUGAGCAAACAGUUAUUGAGAAGCGGAACGAGUAUCGGAGCGAAUAUAUAUGAAGCAAAAUAUGCACAGAGUACAAAUGAUUUUGUGGCGAAAAUGAGUAUAGCUCUGAAAGAAGCGUCCGAAACAGAAUAUUGGUUAGAGUUACUGUAUAGUACAGAAUAUUUGAAAGAAGAACAAUAUGUAAGUAUAAGUACAGAUUGUUCGGAGAUGUGCAAACUAUUGAUAUCAACGGUAAAAACGUUGAAAGAGCAAUAGUUGUUCACUGUUCACUGUUAGUUGUUAACUGUCCGAAUUGGGUAGGGGAGCGUCGAAUAUGGGGUGAAGCAUCAGCGGAAGCAGGUGUGGACUGUAUUCGAGUGAGAAUGCCGGAAUGAGUAGCGAGAAUUGCGUGAGAAUCGUAAUGGCCGAAAAUCUAAGGUUUCUAAUGGUAGGUUCGUCCGCAUUAGGUAAGCCGGAAGCUAAGGCGAGGCCGAAAGGCGUAGUCGAUGCACAUACGGUAGAAAUUCCGUAGCCUCCGAAAUUGUUAAGUAUACUGACACCUGAGAAUAGUUCAACCCCGGCGAUGGUCGACCGGGGCGAAAGGGACUGAAACACAAGUAGGGAAGUGAAUGAAAAUCAGGGCGAGAAAAGGUAUAUGUAUUAGUUAGGAGUCCGUACCGCAAACCGACACAGGUAGAUGAGGAGAAGAUCCUAAGGCCAACGGGAGAAGGGUUGUUAAGGAACUCGGCAAAUUGACCCCGUAACUUCGGGAUAAGGGGAACCCUGCGUAAGCAGGGUCGCAGUAAAAAGGUCCAGGCGACUGUUUAUCAAAAACACAGGUUUCUGCUAAACCGAAAGGUGAAGUAUAGGAGCUGACGCCUGCCCGGUGCUGGAAGGUCAAGGGGAAGUGUCAGGAGCAAUCCGAAGCACAGAACUUAAGCCCCAGUAAACGGCGGCUAUAACUAUGAUAGUCCUAAGGUAGCGAAAUUCCUUGUCAGGUAAGUUCUGACCUGCACGAAUGGCGUAACGAUCUGGACACUGUCUCAACAGCCUCCCCGGCGAAAUUGUUGUACCGGUGAAGAAGCCGGUUACCCGCGACUAGACGGAAAGACCCCAUGGAGCUUUACUAUAGCCUGAUACUGGAACCCGGUAAAUUAUGUAGAGAAUAGGUGGGAGACUGAGAAACGAGGGCGUCAGCUUUCGCGGAGUCACCUUUGGAAUACCACCCUUAAUUUACUGAGUUUCUAACCUGCGCCCCUGAAUCGGGGCGGGGGACAAUGUCAGGUGGGUAGUUUGACUGGGGCGGUCGCCUCCAAAAAAGUAACGGAGGCGCUCAAAGUUCGGCUCAGCGCGGACGGAAAUCGCGCAUAGAGUGUAAACGCACAAGCCGGAUUAACUGCGAGACAGACAAGUCGAGCAGAGACGAAAGUCGGAGUUAGUGAUCAGGUGGUAGUGAGUGGAAAUGCCAUCGCUUAACGGAUAAAAGUUACCCUGGGGAUAACAGGCUGAUCUCCCCCAAGAGUUCACAUCGUCGGGGAGGUUUGGCACCUCGAUGUCGGCUCAUCACAUCCUGGGGCUUGGAUAAGGUCCCAAGGGUUCGGCUGUCCGCCGAUUAAAGUGGUACGCGAGCUGGGUUCAGAACGUCGUGAGACAGUUCGGUCCCUAUCUGUCGUGGGCGCAGGAAAUUUGAGAGGAGCUGUCCUUAGUACGAGAGGACCGGGAUGGACACACCUCCGGUGCACCGGUUGUUCCGCCAGGAGCAUAGCCGGGUAGCCGCGUGUGGCAGUGAUAAACGCUGAAGGCAUCUAAGCGUGAAACAUACCUCAAGAUUAGAUUUCCCACAGCACAAGCUGGUAAGGUCACUUACAGACUAUGAGUUUGAUAGGUCGGAGGUGUAAGCACGGUAACGUGUUCAGCUGACCGAUACUAAUAGACCGAGGGCUUGAAC
rnacentral:rRNA from 1 species